CGGGUGCACUGAUCCGGCCGGGCCUUUCCCUCUGUGGAACCCCAUGGCCUUCACUGGCUGUGCGGGGGAAACAGGACUUUUACUGUGAAAAAAUUAGAGUGCUCCAGGAAGGCCUAUGCUCGAAUACAUUAGCAUGGAAUAAUAGAAUAGGACGCGUGGUUCUAUUUUGUUGGUUUCUAGGACCGCCGUAAUGAUUAAUAGGGACAGUCGGGGGCAUCAGUAUUCAAUUGUCAGAGGUGAAAUUCUUGGAUCUAUUGAAGACUAACUACUGCGAAAGCAUUUGCCAAGGAUGUUUUCAUUGAUAAGGAACAAAAGUUAGGGGAUCGAAGACGAUCAGAUACCGUCGUAGUCUUAACUAUAAACUAUGCCGACUAGGGAUCGGACGAUGUUAUUUCUUGACGCGUUCGGCACCUUUCGAGAAAUCAAAGUGCUUGGGCUCCAGGGGGAGUAUGGUCGCAAGGCUGAAACUUAAAGAAAUUGACGGAAGGGCACCACCAGGGGUGGAACCUGCGGCUUAAUUUGACUCAACACGGGGAAACUCACCAGGUCCAGACACAGUGAGGAUUGACAGAUUGAGAGCUCUUUCUUGAUUCUGUGGGUGGUGGUGCAUGGCCGUUCUUAGUUGGUGGAGUGAUUUGUCUGCUUAAUUGCGAUAACGAACGAGACCUUAACCUGCUAACUAGCCCGUAUUGCUUUGGCAGUACGCUGGCUUCUUAGAGGGACUAUCGG
rnacentral:rRNA from 1 species